rnacentral:lncRNA from 1 species
UAUGUGUAUAGGUUAACUUUUUUUGUUUUCCAGCCCACCAAUUUCUUUCAUUCCAAUUCAAAGUCCAAAAGAAAAGCCCAUUUAAUGUAGUGUUUUCUUCAAAGUCCUCAAUUCUUCCAUGUAAUGCAAAUUAGUCCUUUUCUUCAUUUUCUCCUCAAUUUUGAUCCUCCAACUUUUAUUCCGCUAGAUUUUGUCCACACACUCUAUUUAAUAGCCAAUUGAUCAUUUUCUUUUCCAAUUGCUUUGAAACGGGUCCAUAACUAAAACAAAAGAAAAUUAACCCAAAUUAGUUAGAAAUUAAUAAUUUGACGAUAUAAAAGUUUAAUAAU